rnacentral:rRNA from 1 species
UACGUAGGGUGCGAGCGUUGUCCGGAAUUACUGGGCGUAAAGAGCUCGUAGGUGGUUUGUCGCGUUGUUCGUGAAAACUCACAGCUCAACUGUGGGCGUGCGGGCGAUACGGGCAGACUAGAGUACUGCAGGGGAGACUGGAAUUCCUGGUGUAGCGGUGGAAUGCGCAGAUAUCAGGAGGAACACCGGUGGCGAAGGCGGGUCUCUGGGGCAUUACCUGACGCUGAGGAGCGAAAGUGUGGGGAGCGAACAGG